CAAUAGCGUGUAUUAAAGUUGUUGCGGUUAAAAAGCUCGUAGUUGGAUCUCGGCAGGCAGGGGGUGGUUCGCUCUUAGCGCUACUGCCCCAUUUGCCUGUGUGAUUGGCGGAGGUUUCGGGGUGCUCUUCGUUGAGUGACCCGGGGCGCCGUCAGGUUUACUUUGAAAAAAUUAGAGUGCUCAAAGCAGGCUUUUCACGCUUGAAUAUUCGUGCAUGGAAUAAUGGAAUAGGAACUCGUUUCUAUUUUGUUGGUUUUCGGAAAUCGAGUUAAUGAUUAAUAGGGACAAUUGGGGGCAUUAGUAUUCAGACGACAGAGGUGAAAUUCUUGGACCGUCUGAAGACUAACUACUGCGAAAGCAUUUGCCAAGAGUGUUUUCAUUAA
rnacentral:rRNA from 1 species